UGGGGAAUUUUGCGCAAUGGGCGAAAGCCUGACGCAGUAACGCCGCGUGGAGGAUGAAGGCCUUCGGGUUGUAAACUCCUGUCAGGGGGAAAGAAGGGUUUGAGGGUAGAAUACGUCCUUAAGCUCUGACGGUACCCCCAGAGGAAGCCCCGGCAAAUUCCGUGCCAGCAGCCGCGGUAAUACGGAAGGGGCAAGCGUUGUUCGGAAUCAUUGGGCGUAAAGGGCGCGUAGGUGGUUUUACAUGUCCGUCGUGAAAGGGCACGGCUCAACCGUGUUUGGUCGGCGGAAACUGUAAGACUUGAGGCUGGGAGGGGCUGGAGGAAGUCCCUGUGUAGCGGUGAAAUGCGUAGAGAUAGGGGAGAACACUCGUGGCGAAGGCGUCCAGCUGGACCAGUCCUGACACUGAGGCGCGAAAGCGUGGGUAGCAAACAGGAUUAGAUACCCCCGUAGUCC
rnacentral:rRNA from 1 species